rnacentral:rRNA from 1 species
AUGCCGGCAAAUAGACUAGAAGACCACCUUCUCCUUCUUCACGAGGAUCGGCGGGUCAACAUCGAUGCCCAUGUUAGCGGCAGUGCCCGCUAUGAUUCUCAUGGCGGACUCGAUGGUUUUGCAGUUCAAGUCAGGCAGCUUCUCCUGGGCGAUUGUGCGUACUUGGUCCACUGUCACCUUUCCAACCUUCUCGCGCUGUGGCUCCUUUGA